CAGGACUUUUUUCCCCUCAAUUCAGUGUGUAAUGUAUAAACCAUAUCAUUUUUCAAUCACUUGAUAGCAAACAAGAAUCUCUCAAUGGAGGACCAGUUGUCAUUCAUCUUCCCCCAAGUAAAUUACAAACUUGUGUUCCUUGAACAUGAUUUUUAUUCACGUAACUCCAAAUAUAAUAAUUAUAGCUUUAUAUUUCCUGCUAAGUUUGUCCGUAAAGGGCUUUCAAUUUGUUUUCCCUCUAAACCGACGCAAUGAAGGGGGAAAAUUGCUUCUUUUGUUCACUGGAGUGUCAUGUAAUGCUGAGAAUUAGCUUCCUUCUAGUUUGAAAUGAGUAGUAUGUUAAAUGAACACUACAGACACAUAAAAUCCCUCAGCUUGCUGUGUGUAGUGUGUUCAUGGUAAAAGUGCC